rnacentral:rRNA from 1 species
CACGUAGGGCGCAAGCGUUGUCCGGAAUUAUUGGGCGUAAAGAGCUCGUAGGCGGUCUGUUGCGUCCGCUGUGAAAACUCGGGGCUUAACCCCGAGCCUGCAGUGGAUACGGGCAGACUAGAGGUAGGUAGGGGAGAAUGGAAUUCCGGGUGUAGCGGUGGAAUGCGUAGAGAUCCGGAAGAACACCGGUGGCGAAGGCGGUCUGCUGGGCAGUUGCUGACACUGAUGCGCGACAGCGUGGGGAGCAAACAGG